ensembl:miRNA gmo-mir-9-1 gmo-mir-9-1
UCUUUGGUUAUCUAGCUGUAUGAGUGGCAUACAUUCUUCAUAAAGCUAGAUAACCGAAAGU